GUCAGUAUAAUGGGGGAUCAUUGCAGUGUGGCCAGAGAGGGGCAGACGUGAUUACAGAUGAAAGUAGAGGAAAGUGGUGAGCAGGGGCGGAGAGAGGAAAAGCCAGACAUAUGCAAUCGUUCUUCCAAAGGAUUUUAGAAGAGAUCAUUUAUUUGAAGUACUCCUGACAUGUUGAUGGAGCAGCUCAAUCUUUUGCCAGUGAACGUUUAGCCUUUUGUUUUUCAUUUAUAGAUAUAUUUGAAUAUAUACUUAGGACAUGUAAUAACUAUGGAACUUCACCACAAACACAGCACUGAGGACAGACACGUUAACUUGAUGUGCACCUGGUGACUCAUUCGUCUUGUGGCUGCCUCUGGAUUCGUGAGUUUGGUGCCUAGAAAGAAAUAACCAACAAAUCAAAGUCUAUUUCUUUGAUGCACAUGUUGGCACCCUUUGAAAGAUCCAGAAAUCCACAUAUUGAACAUGAAUCUAGGGCUGCGGUUGCUGCAAAGGCCUCUCACUGCUGUGGCUUCUCCCGUUGCGGAGCGCAGGCUCCGGAUGCACAGGCUCAGCGGCCAUGGCUCGCGGGCCUAGCCGCACCGCGGCAUGUGGGAUCUUCCCGGACCGGAGCACGAACCCGUGUCCCCCUGCAUUGGCAGGCGGACUCUCAACCACUGCGCCACCAGGGAAGCCCUCAUUUUUAUUUUUAAUCUUCCAAAAAUGUGUUGGUCAGUCCCCUGUUUUUAUUUGUUAAACUUUAGAAAUA